rnacentral:misc_RNA from 1 species
AAAGUCGUAACAAGGUUUCCGUAGGUGAACCUGCGGAAGGAUCAUUACCAUGUUUAAUCCAAAACACUCAACCCAUGUGAACCAUGAUGACUGUCUGUCUUUGGGGUGGAUCGGUUUUAAGGGUAACACCUGAGCUUAUUUCACCCCACAUGUGUUAACAACCUUUUUAUUUUGUAUUGGAAUCUAUUUGUCUUAAUAAAUUAUUAGACAACUUUUAACGGUGGAUCUCUUGGCUCGU